rnacentral:rRNA from 1 species
GAUGAACGCUAGCGGCAGGCCUAAUACAUGCAAGUCGAACGGAAUAUAGUUUUCGGAUUAUAUUUAGUGGCGCACGGGUGAGUAACACGUACAUAACUUACCCUCAAGAGGGGGAUAGCCUUGGGAAACUGAGCGUAAUACCCCAUAGUAUUAUUGAACGGCAUCGUUUGAUAAUUAAAGCUACGGCGCUUGAGGAUAGAUGUGCGUCUGAUUAGCUAGUUGGUAAGGUAACGGCUUACCAAGGCGACGAUCAGUAGGGGGCGUGAGAGCGUGGCCCCCCACACGGGUACUGAGACACGGACCCGACUCCUACGGGAGGCAGCAGUAAGGAAUAUUGGUCAAUGCCCGGAAGGGUGAACCAGCCAUGCCGCGUGAAGGAUGACUGCCCUCUGGGUUGUAAAACUUCUUUUGGAUGGGACGAAAAAACGGGAUUUAUCCUGGACUGACGGUACCAUCAGAAUAAGCACCGGCUAACUCCGUG